UUGGAGGGCAAGUCUGGUGCCAGCAGCCGCGGUAAUUCCAGCUCCAAUAGCGUAUAUUAAAGUUGUUGCAGUUAAAAAGCUCGUAGUUGAAUUUCGGGAUCAAUGUUUCGGUCAUGCCGUUGGUAUGUACUGAUAUUAUUGAUUUCUCACCUUCUAAAGAACCGUAAUGCCAUUAAUUUGGUGUCACGGGGAAUUAGGACUGUUACCUUGAAAAAAUUAGAGUGUUUAAAGCAGGCUCACGCUUGAAUACAUUAGCAUGGAAUAAUGAAAUAGGACAUCCGAUUCUAUUUUGUUGGUUUCUAGGAUCGAUGUAAUGAUUAAUAGGGAUAGUUGGGGGCAUUAGUAUUCAAUUGUCAGAGGUGAAAUUCUUGGAUUUAUUGAAGACUAACUUCUGCGAAAGCAUUUGCCAAGGAUGUUUUCAUUAAUCAAGAACGAAAGUUAGGGGAUCGAAGACGAUCAGAUACCGUCGUAGUCUUAACCAUAAACUAUGCCGACUAGGGAUCGGACGAUGUUAAUUUUUUAAUGACUCGUUCGGCGCCUUACGGGAAAC
rnacentral:rRNA from 1 species